rnacentral:rRNA from 1 species
UACGUAGGGUGCAAGCGUUGUCCGGAAUUAUUGGGCGUAAAGAGCUCGUAGGCGGUUUGUCGCGUCUGCUGUGAAAACUCAGGGCUUAACCCUGAGCCUGCAGUGGGUACGGGCAGACUAGAGUGCGGAAGGGGCAACUGGAAUUCUUGGUGUAGCGGUGAAAUGCGUAGAUAUCAAGAGGAACACCUGCGGCGAAGGCGGGUUGCUGGGCCGACACUGACGCUGAGGCGCGAAAGCGUGGGGAGCAAACAGG